AUUGAACGCUAGCGGGAUGCUUUACACAUGCAAGUCGAACGGCAGCGCGGACUUCGGUCUGGCGGCGAGUGGCGAACGGGUGAGUAAUGUAUCGGAACGUGCCCAGUAGCGGGGGAUAACUACGCGAAAGCGUAGCUAAUACCGCAUACGCCCUACGGGGGAAAGCAGGGGAUCGUAAGACCUUGCACUAUUGGAGCGGCCGAUAUCGGAUUAGCUAGUUGGUGAGGUAACGGCUCACCAAGGCGACGAUCCGUAGCUGGUUUGAGAGGACGACCAGCCACACUGGAACUGAGACACGGCCCAGACUCCUACGGGAGGCAGCAGUGGGGAAUUUUGGGCAAUGGGGGCAACCCUGAUCCAGCCAUCCCGCGUGUGCGAUGAAGGCCUUCGGGUUGUAAAGAACUUUUGGCAGGAAAGAAACGUCGCGGGCUAAUACCCCGUGGAACUGACGGUACCUGCAGAAUAAGCACCGGCUAACUACGUG
rnacentral:rRNA from 1 species